AGGGUCGGUCGGUGGUCGCCGGAGGUCUUUGACCUCCGGAGGAAAGUCCGGGCUCCGCAGGGCAGGGCGCCGGGUAACACCCGGAGGGGGUAACCCCUGGAAAGUGCCACAGAAAACAGACCGCCUCGGGGCUUGGCCUCGGGGUAAGGGUGAAAAGGUGGGGUAAGAGCCCACCGCUUCCUCCCGAGAGGGAGGAAGGCACGGCAAACCCCGCCCGGAGAAAGGCCGCAUAGGGGGGCGCUUGAGGGUGGCCCGCCCGAUGCCCCCGGGUAGGCCGCUAGAGCGGCCGGGCAACCGGCCGCCUAGAGGAAUGACCACCACCUGCGGGGGUCGAAAGGCUCCGCAGGCUACAGAACCCGGCUUAUGACCGGCCCUCCCC
rnacentral:RNase_P_RNA from 2 species